rnacentral:rRNA from 1 species
UACAGAGACUGCAAGCGUUAUUCGGAUUCACUGGGCGUAAAGGGCGCGUAGGUGGCGGCCCAAGUCCAUGGUGAAAGCUCGAUGCUCAACAUCGAGUCGGCCACGGAUACUGGGUUGCUCGAGCACUGUAGGGGCAGAUGGAAUUCCGGGUGUAGCGGUGGAAUGCGUAGAGAUCCGGAAGAACACCGGUGGCGAAGGCGGUCUGCUGGGCAGUUGCUGACACUGAGGCGCGACAGCGUGGGGAGCAAACAGG